UCCCAGACUCCUACGGGAGGCAGCAGUGGGGAAUAUUGGGCAAUGGGCGCAAGCCUGACCCAGCAACGCCGCGUGAAGGAAGAAGGCUUUCGGGUUGUAAACUUCUUUUGACAGGGAAGAGUAGAAGACGGUACCUGUCGAAUAAGCCACGGCUAACUACGUGCCAGCAGCCGCGGUAAUACGGAGGGUGCGAGCGUUAAUCGGAAUCACUGGGCGUAAAGCGCGCGUAGGCGGCUUUUCAAGUCAGGGGUGAAAUCCCACGGCCCAACCGUGGAACUGCCUUUGAAACUGUAGAGCUUGAGUGUCGGAGAGGGUGGCGGAAUUCCAGGUGUAGGAGUGAAAUCCGUAGAUAUCUGGAGGAACAUCAGUGGCGAAGGCGACUAUCUGGCACAUAACUGACGCUGAGGAGCGAAAGCGUGGGUAGCAAACAGGAUUAGAUACCCUCGUAG
rnacentral:rRNA from 1 species